rnacentral:rRNA from 1 species
GCAUUCCUACGGGGCGCAGCAGUGAGGAAUAUUGGUCAAUGGGCGGAAGCCUGAACCAGCCAAGUCGCGUGAGGGAAUAAGGCCCUACGGGUUGUAAACCUCUUUUGUCGGGGAGCAAAUUCCGUUACGUGUAACGGAGUCGAGAGUACCCGAAGAAAAAGCAUCGGCUAACUCCGUGCCAGCAGCCGCGGUAAUACGUAGGGUGCAAGCGUUAUCCGGAUUUAUUGGGCGUAAAGGGCUCGUAGGCGGUUCGUCGCGUCCGGUGUGAAAGUCUAUCGCUUAACGGUGGAUCCGCGCCGGGUACG